AAUGGUGGUCGGGGUACCUUUUCGAAGGAGUGUCAAAUUCUUCAGAGAAAAUCUGAAUCAUGCAUGAUGAAGUUAUUGGUUUUGUCCAAACAAGUCACCGCGUGUUACCGUUGGGGUAACUUCGAAAAAGCGCGCAUCUUUCUCGAACAGUACAACGCUAUUUUAUCGCAAGCACAGAAUCGUUUGAUUUUCGAGGUGUUGGGAUUGUACUUACAAGCAGCUCUAAAACGUGCAAGUGGAGAUUUUGAAGAGCUCCUGGAACUAUUGACUGAAGCUUUGUCCAAGGCAGAACUGAUUGAACCAGGCCUGGUAACAGCAAUAGUAUAUGUUUUUGCUGGAACUGUGACUGACUUGAUAAAUUCAGAAGACCCAACAGAAGUAGUUUUACCUGAUGUUCUUUCAAUAAGAGCUCUGGAAGAUUUACGAUGUGUGGAUCAAUCUGAAGUCGUUGCAGAAAUGAAGUAGAAGGCACAUAUAAAUUUGGCUACUUUUUACCUUGGCUGUAAUAUAAGUGGACAGCGUAUUAAGGGUAAUAUAGACGUUUCAGACAUAGAUAAAGCAAAGAACAGUAUAAUGGCUGUGCAUCAAUCCGCUGAUGAAGGGCGGCCACUGAGUAGGUAUCGUGAAGUUCAGCUCAAUUUGGUAUUGUCCAUUUGUAAUUAUCGACGUUCAGAAGUCAGUCCUGACGAAAGAGUUCGCUUUUUGCGCUAUGCCUUUGACUACGCCAAGAAAGCUGAAUGUCUUGCAAGAGAUUAUCAGUUCACAGAAAUGGUUGAAUGGAGUAAGGCUACCGAAGCUUUAUGCACGGAAGAACUAGUGCGCGCGAAAUUUGCCAUUCAACCAAAAUAGACUGUACGAGUUAAAACUCCGAGUCUAGAUUUGCAAUUUACCAUAGUUCAUCUGUAUGUAGGAGUACUGUUCACAUAAGCCAGUCUGUCCCAUCAAAUAGUAAUAGUAAU